rnacentral:rRNA from 1 species
UACGUAGGGUGCAAGCGUUGUCCGGAAUUAUUGGGCGUAAAGAGCUCGUAGGCGGUUUGUCGCGUCUGCUGUGAAAACUCGGGGCUUAACCCUGGGCCUGCAGUGGGUACGGGCAGACUAGAGUGCGGUAGGGGAGACUGGAAUUCCUGGUGUAGCGGUGAAAUGCGCAGAUAUCAGGAGGAACACCGGUGGCGAAGGCGGGUCUCUGGGCCGUAACUGACGCUGAGGAGCGAAAGCGUGGGGAGCGAGCAGG